ensembl:snRNA U2 U2 spliceosomal RNA
AACACCUCUUGGCCUUUUGGCUAAGAUCAAGUGUAGUAUCUAUUUCUCUUUGCAUUCUCUGUAGGCUGCUACUUAAUGGAAGUUGUUACCAUGCUAUUGAAAGCAUAAAUAUUAAAAUAUAAUAUUCUCAUUUUGAAUUAUAGCCUUAAGCAUUAUAAAGUAUGCUUCUUUAUGUAUUUAGUGCUUUUUGAUCUGAAUUCCACCUUACCAGAUAUCAAGAUUAUGAAC